AACGCACAUUGCGCUUCCUGGCAUUCCGGGAAGCAUGCCCAUUUCAGAAUCAUUAAAUACACCUCAUCAUCUCUGAUGGUGGACGUUGGACAGCUUGGCUUUGGUCAAUUGUCUCAAAAUGAUUGUGCUGGCUUCGGCUGUUGCUGGUUAGCUUUAAAGGUGCAAAAAGAUGAAUUUAUUAAGUUCGCUUCCUCACCUCAUGAGCUAUCCAUUGGCAAUACCAGUGCCAUGCACUCCUAAUACUCAGAUUCCUCAGCUUUGCUGGAUAAUCUGUUAACUUGGUCUGAAAUUGGGCAAGAAAACCCGCUGAACUUAA
rnacentral:misc_RNA from 1 species